GCGCGCUGGUGACGUUCCGUUCGUUUUGAGCCGUUAUCGCUCUUUAGCCCUCCUCAUCCGCGUCGAACCAUUAUCAACCGUUCUCCGGCGGCGGCUGCUUGUGGCACGGCCGCGCGAACCGUAUCUUGAAAGCGAACUGCAUUGUGGACAGAGUGUGCCCACUGCUGAAACCUUCCCGCGCUGUGUUCGCACCGUUUACUUCGCUUUGAAAACAGACGCGCGUACACCUAUCUUGAAAGUGUUCUGCGAAAAGCGCAUAGUGCGGCAUGAGCUGAGAGCUUCGUGAGCGCAGUGUUCUCGCCGCUUCGGUCGCGUUGAAGCGAGAGCUAGCACGAAGCUCAUCGGUGGAUGCACGUCUGCUCGGCGUCGCAAUGCGGCCUGCGUCAUUUUUUGGUGUUCGCGCAAUCGGUGUGAAGCAUGUCGCAUGUGAAAUGUUUGGUAGAAGUGCCUCACGUCCAAGUCAAGCCGCCGUACGGGUGUAUGGCUGUGCGCCCUGUUCUCGGAAGCGUCAACGGGUUUCCGGCAUGCGGAUUUCAGCGUUUGGACUCGACUUUUGGUGAGGCUGUCGAUCGACCUUGGGCCUGGUGACAGCACACCCGACAUCGCCAAAGUGCAGCCUAUCAGUUGAGUGCCCCCGAAUGGACCAUCAACAUCGGAAACUGAAGCAGAGCCAGGGGGAAAAAGUUCCGGUAACACCAUGCAUUCAGUAUGGUGGCCCAGACGUGUAUGCAAGCAACCUCCUUCAUGUGGACCAAGAACUACUCUGCAGUGUCUCACAGACUUCCAUGCGAAGCCCUCAACAUUCUCGUUUCAGUGGAAUGGCUGCCCAUCUAUCUGCGUGUCCAUCACCAAGACGGCUAGUUGUAAAGCUCCUGUACCCGUUUAAGAAAGCUUAAUGAUUUUUUUAUUUAGUUUUCACGGUUGGCCGUAGAAUCUUAACAUUUUUGAUGUUUCUAACGUUUUUACCUGGCACAAAGUGGCGCAAUAACUUUAAACCAGUGUAAUGUAUUUAAGUGAUGCUCACUCUAAUGCCUAUCUGGUUUUGUUUGUGUUUAAGAAAUUUGAAUGUCUGAUGAGGUAACAGCAUUUAAAUUUGUCAUCGUGGCUUGUUUCAAUGAGCUGCUAGGAAAUAAGAUGCAAAACUUAUCACACGCCAGUUGUAGCAUUUUUGUAUUCAUGACUACAGUAUACACGUUUCAAAAGAUGGAAAGUGGGGAAAAAAAGCCUCAAGAACAUAAUCAUCCUAGGAUUGUCAUGUCCUUACAACUCUGCAAUGACUAAUGCCUCAUGCAUCUUGGGAGCACAAUGGUCGCAAUGCCUACAGGUAUACUUGAUAAGAGACUAGCUUGCAAAAAUUUAGUUGAGAGUUAGCGCUCAUCCUGUCUGCUUCUAGUCUGUGUCUGAGUCUGUGUCCACUUCGCGCUACAAUCCAAGAUCAUGUUACUGUACCAACUCGCCCAACUUUUUAUCCUUGUGUUAAAGACACACUCAGACUUGUUCUUACUUAUGUGACCGGUUAUUUUUGUGCUUUAUAAUAAGAUGCAGUGCUUUUCGAAUGAAAACGUGAUAUUUAGUAGUGAGGUUAUUUAAAAAAACUGUUCUGCUUCAAAUUUAAUUGAGCAAGCCUGUGCCAUUAUUCGGUGCUUAUGUCUUUGUAUUGGUAUGGUUUUGCUCAUCUUCCGUUUUACUUUUAAAAUGUGCAAACAUUAUUAUGUAACCAUUUCUCUUGAAUGAAAUAAAUACUUCUGACAUUUCGUCACAAAUUUUACAAUGAUGUUGUUCAAUUAGGUAACCUUAGACUAGCUGAUUGUUGUUCUGGUAGCUUAACUUACAAUGCCUUUGCAAUAUUCAAUGCAAGCACAUGGUGAAAAAUAAACUAAGUUAUUGGGUAUAAGCAGGUAUCUUUCAGUAAAUGGAGCAUACAUAUAUUUCAGGAAAUAGUGCAUUCUUAUAUAUUGAACAGCAAGGACAGCUACACAUGCUGUUUUGUUCGUAAAUGCUGAAACAUGAUUCGACGUGGAAGCACUUUGUUCUUUGGCUUUGAGUGCUACCUUUAAGUCAUGUGUCAAAGUAGUAGUAGAAGCAUCCCUUGGCGAUAAAUGACAACUUUGAUGAAUAGAGGUGUAAAAUGUGUGCUUAAAACGGCAAAAAACUGUUUGACAGGCAAACAUAUGCUUCUGUAGUACUGUACUUGUUACCGUCGCCAAUCCAUGCAUUGCUUGUGCUCUAUUGCAUUCAAUAUGAGCUACAACAACGAGCUGUGGUGUCUUUCCCUCCUGGUCGAGCUGGUGUUGCGAAAAUGUUUGACCAAGAAAAGUGGAGGUUUUUAAUUAUUUCUGAAAUGCAUGUAACUAUGCUUUUGGCUGUGUGCUGUUUCC